rnacentral:sRNA from 1 species
UCAAGUGAAGAAGCGCAUACGGUGGAUGCCUUGGCAGUCAGAGGCGAUGAAAGACGUGGUAGCCUGCGAAAAGCUUCGGGGAGUCGGCAAACAGACUUUGAUCCGGAGAUGUCUGAAUGGGGGAACCCAGCCAUCAUAAGAUGGUUAUCUUGUACUGAAUACAUAGGUGCAAGAGGCGAACCAGGGGAACUGAAACAUCUAAGUACCCUGAGGAAAAGAAAUCAACCGAGAUUCCCUUAGUAGUGGCGAGCGAACGGGGACUAGCCCUUAAGUGGCUUUGAGAUUAGCGGAACGCUCUGGAAAGUGCGGCCAUAGUGGGUGAUAGCCCUGUACGCGAAAAUCUCUUAGUCAUGAAAUCGAGUAGGACGGAGCACGAGAAACUUUGUCUGAAUAUGGGGGGACCAUCCUCCAAGGCUAAAUACUACUGACUGACCGAUAGUGAACUAGUACCGUGAGGGAAAGGCGAAAAGAACCCCGGAGAGGGGAGUGAAAUAGAUCCUGAAACCGUAUGCGUACAAGCAGUGGGAGCAGACUUUGUUCUGUGACUGCGUACCUUUUGUAUAAUGGGUCAGCGACUUAUUUUCAGUGGCGAGCUUAACCGAAUAGGGGAGGCGUAGCGAAAGCGAGUCUUAAUAGGGCGUCUAGUCGCUGGGAAUAGACCCGAAACCGGGCGAUCUAUCCAUGGGCAGGUUGAAGGUUGGGUAACACUAACUGGAGGACCGAACCGACUACCGUUGAAAAGUUAGCGGAUGACCUGUGGAUCGGAGUGAAAGGCUAAUCAAGCUCGGAGAUAGCUGGUUCUCCUCGAAAGCUAUUUAGGUAGCGCCUCAUGUAUCACUGUAGGGGGUAGAGCACUGUUUCGGCUAGGGGGUCAUCCCGACUUACCAAACCGAUGCAAACUCCGAAUACCUACAAGUGCCGAGCAUGGGAGACACACGGCGGGUGCUAACGUCCGUCGUGAAAAGGGAAACAACCCAGACCGUCAGCUAAGGUCCCAAAGUUAUGGUUAAGUGGGAAACGAUGUGGGAAGGCUUAGACAGCUAGGAGGUUGGCUUAGAAGCAGCCACCCUUUAAAGAAAGCGUAAUAGCUCACUAGUCGAGUCGGCCUGCGCGGAAGAUGUAACGGGGCUCAAACCAUACACCGAAGCUACGGGUAUCAUCUUAGGAUGAUGCGGUAGAGGAGCGUUCUGUAAGCUGAAUUUCCAGGAGUGGGUAUUCAAAUCCUUAUAGCCACGAGACAUCCCAUAAGUUGUCGUCUUGAUAAUUGCAGAUGUAUACGCGCUGGCCGUCCUUGCUGAAGGCUACUGCGGAAGGCUUGCGGCCAGCAGGGAUGGGGCGAGCAUCUAGUGUGUUGGUAUCGAAUAUCGUGGCUUCGUUAUUAUUUUCAGGCCCGAGACCACACAAGUGUUUUCCAUCGGGCGUGAUUGCUAGCCUUGCUAUUUCUAACUUGGUUGGUAUGCGGCGUGUAACCUUGUUUGUGCGGGUGCUGAUUUCGAUUAAUUCAUUUGAAAUUUCCCUUGUAACAUAUAAGAAUUCCCAGUCAGGGCUUGCGACCAUGUCUGUAGAGAUUUCUCCCGUUUCAAUAACGUCAAUAAGUCUCAAAGUACUGGUAUCAAUUACGCCAACUCCUCCAUGCACAGUACCUAUGUCAUUUCGGGAUAAAACAUAAACUAGACUGCCGUCGGGAUUUGUAAGGGUUUUACCCAGGUUCCAUCCCACGUCUAUUGUUCGGAUAGUCUGGCCGUCGGCAACAUUAAUUACCUCCAGUUUUCCAGGGGGGUCAACUUGGGCGUUAACGAUUACGCAAUAGAAUCGGGUGUUGUCAGGGCUUAAAGCCAAUGAUGUAGGUAUAUGCUUGCCAGUGUAGGUCCUUUUUAGUGUCAAGUCAGUUGCAUCAUACUCGACGAUAUUGCUGCCCACACAAAGGUAGAUUCGCCUGCCGUCUGGCGAGAGUACUGCACUAGUGACAUGGCCCGGGUCCACAGAUUUCGUGAUUGUCUGUGUCGCGAGAUUGAUCAGGUUCAGCGAUCUAUUGCCUAUAUCAUAUUCUCCACGACAGCCUACAUAGGCGAAUGUUCCAUCGGGACUGACCAUCAUGUACCGUGGAUCUUGAAUGUGUGUGAUUUUCAGUUUGUCUGCCACGGUGAACGUCCGGAUUGCCGACUCUGCGCCCGAGCCGUACAAGGCCUUGGCUUUGAAACUGUGCGCGGCCACGCUAAGUUCGUUAGAGCGCACCCCUGAUAAGGGUGAGGUCGGCAGUUCGAAUCUGCCCAGACCCACCAAUUUUGUGUGGGAAACGCCUGUAGAAAUACGGGGCCAUAGCUCAGCUGGGAGAGCGCCUGCCUUGCACGCAGGAGGUCAACGGUUCGAUCCCGUUUGGCUCCACCACUACUGCUUCUGACGUAUGAAAGCUUAGAAAUGAGCAUUCCAUUGAAAGAUGGUGAAUGUUGAUUUCUAGUCUUUGAUUAGAUCGUUCUUUAAAAAUUUGGGUAUGUGAUAGAAAGAUAGACUGAACGUUACUUUCACAUCUUUUAGAUGACGAAGUGGUUGAUGCCAUGCUUCCAAGAAAAGCUUCUAAGCUUCAGGUAACCAGGAACCGUACCCCAAACCGACACAGGUGGUUGGGUAGAGAAUACCAAGGCGCUUGAGAGAACUCGGGUGAAGGAACUAGGCAAAAUGGCACCGUAACUUCGGGAGAAGGUGCGCCGGUGAGGGUGAAGGACUUGCUCCGUAAGCUCAUGCCGGUCGAAGAUACCAGGCCGCUGCGACUGUUUAUUAAAAACACAGCACUCUGCAAACACGAAAGUGGACGUAUAGGGUGUGACGCCUGCCCGGUGCCGGAAGGUUAAUUGAUGGGGUUAGCUAACGCGAAGCUCUUGAUCGAAGCCCCGGUAAACGGCGGCCGUAACUAUAACGGUCCUAAGGUAGCGAAAUUCCUUGUCGGGUAAGUUCCGACCUGCACGAAUGGCGUAACGAUGGCGGCGCUGUCUCCACCCGAGACUCAGUGAAAUUGAAAUCGCUGUGAAGAUGCAGUGUAUCCGCGGCUAGACGGAAAGACCCCGUGAACCUUUACUAUAGCUUUGCACUGGACUUUGAAUUUGCUUGUGUAGGAUAGGUGGGAGGCUUUGAAGCGUGGACGCCAGUUCGCGUGGAGCCAACCUUGAAAUACCACCCUGGCAACUUUGAGGUUCUAACUCAGGUCCGUUAUCCGGAUCGAGGACAGUGUAUGGUGGGUAGUUUGACUGGGGCGGUCUCCUCCUAAAGAGUAACGGAGGAGUACGAAGGUGCGCUCAGACCGGUCGGAAAUCGGUCGUAGAGUAUAAAGGCAAAAGCGCGCUUGACUGCGAGACAGACACGUCGAGCAGGUACGAAAGUAGGUCUUAGUGAUCCGGUGGUUCUGUAUGGAAGGGCCAUCGCUCAACGGAUAAAAGGUACUCCGGGGAUAACAGGCUGAUACCGCCCAAGAGUUCAUAUCGACGGCGGUGUUUGGCACCUCGAUGUCGGCUCAUCACAUCCUGGGGCUGAAGCCGGUCCCAAGGGUAUGGCUGUUCGCCAUUUAAAGUGGUACGCGAGCUGGGUUUAGAACGUCGUGAGACAGUUCGGUCCCUAUCUGCCGUGGACGUUUGAGAUUUGAGAGGGGCUGCUCCUAGUACGAGAGGACCGGAGUGGACGAACCUCUGGUGUUCCGGUUGUCACGCCAGUGGCAUUGCCGGGUAGCUAUGUUCGGGAAAGAUAACCGCUGAAAGCAUCUAAGCGGGAAACUUGCCUCAAGAUGAGAUCUCACUGGAACCUUGAGUUCCCUGAAGGGCCGUCGAAGACUACGACGUUGAUAGGUUGGGUGUGUAAGCGCUGUGAGGCGUUGAGCUAACCAAUACUAAUUGCCCGUGAGGCUUGACCAU